GCUCUGGAGCAGUUUGCCACUGUGGUGGAGGCCAAGCUGAUAAAACACAAGAAGGGGAUUGUCACGGCUGGCAGACGGGGCCAUCGACCUCUAUGCCAUGGUGGUGGUUCUCUCGAGGGCCUCAAGAUCCCUGAGUGAGGGCCACCCCACGGCCCAGCAUGAGAAAAUGCUCUGUGACACCUGGUGUAUCGAGGCUGCAGCUCGGAUCCGAGAGGGCAUGGCCGCCCUGCAGUCUGACCCCUGGCAGCAAGAGCUCUACCGCAACUUCAAAAGCAUCUCCAAGGCCUUGGUGGAGCGGGGUGGUGUGGUCACCAGCAACCCACUUGGCUUCUGAAUACUCCCGGCCAGGGCCUGUCCCAGUUAUGUGCCUUCCCUCAAGCCAAAGCCGAAGCCCCUUUCCUUAAGGCCCUGGUUUGUCCCGAAGGGGCCUAGUGUUCCCAGCACUGUGCCUGCUCUCAAGAGCACUUACUGCCUCGCAAAUAAUAAAAAUUUCUAGCCAGUCA
rnacentral:lncRNA from 1 species